CCUACGGGAGGCUGCAGUGAGGAAUAUUGGUCAAUGGACGAGAGUCUGAACCAGCCAAGUAGCGUGAAGGAUGACUGCCCUAUGGGUUGUAAACUUCUUUUAUAUGGGAAUAAAAUGAUCCACGUGUGGGAUUUUGUAUGUACCAUAUGAAUAAGGAUCGGCUAACUCCGUGCCAGCAGCCGCGGUAAUACGGAGGAUCCGAGCGUUAUCCGGAUUUAUUGGGUUUAACGGGAGCGUAGGUGGAUUGUUAAGUCAGUUGUGAAAGUUUGCGGCUCAACCGUAAAAUUGCAGUUGAAACUGGCAGUCUUGAGUACAGUAGAGGUGGGCGGAAUUCGUGGUGUAGCGGUGAAAUGCUUAGAUAUCACGAAGAACUCCGAUUGCGAAGGCAGUUCACUAGACUGCAACUGACACUGAGGCUCGAAAGUGUGGGUAUCAAACAGGAUUAGAUACCCGUGUAGUC
rnacentral:rRNA from 1 species